AAUAAAUUCUAUCACGUUACCACUAAUAAACUUAUUUUACAACAGGGUCUCACUCAGUCUCCCAGGCUGCAGUGCAGUGGUGCGAUCAUGGCUCAAUAAUGCAGCUUCAACCUCCCGUGCUCAAGCAAUCCUCUUGCCUCAGCCUCCCAAGUAGCUGGGACUACAGGCACCCAUCACCACACCCGACUAAUUUUUAAGUUUUUUGUAGAGAUGAGGUCUCCUAAUGUUGCUCAGUGAUCCUCCUGCCUUGGCCUCCCAAAGUGCUGGGAUUACAGGUAUGAGUCACCACACUGGGCCCAGAUGACAUGUAAAGCUGUGAAAUGUGCUUAGUAUAAUAGUGUGGAAAAACAGUUUAAUGGCUCUUUUGAUUAGUACAUGUAUAAAUAAGGCUGUAUUGAGAUUUACCCUAUCUUCCAUGAACAAUAAAAUUAUUCUUAGUUGG
rnacentral:sRNA from 1 species